rnacentral:rRNA from 1 species
AUUUGGGGAUUAAUAAAUUUAUAUUUAAUAAAAAUAAUUUUAAUUUAAUAAAUAUUUUAAUGGGGGUUAAAGUAUUUUUUAAAGAAAAAAUUUUUAAUUUUAUAGUAUAAUAGUAUUGUGUAAGAAUUUUGAAAUAAUUGAAAAUUUAAUUUUAAUAAAGUAAUUUUUAUUUGAUGUAUCUUGUGUAUCAGAGUUUAUUAAAAUUUUUAAUUUUUAAAUUAAUUUCUCGAAUUUAAAAGAGUUAAAUAAUUAUUAAAUUUAUUGUUGCAAAAAUAUUUUAAAUAAUUAUUUAGAAAUGAAAUGUUAAUCGUUUUUAAAUAUAUCUAGUUUUUAUAGAAAAAAUUUUAAUUUUAAAUUUAAUUUUAUUAUUAAUUAAUUAAUUAAUUAAAUAAUUAUUUAAAUUUUAUAUUUUAAGGGAUAAGCUUUAAAUUAAAUUUUUAUAAUAAAAAAUAUUUAUUUUUGAAAAUUUUAUAAUUUAUAUUGUUAAUAAAUUUUAUUUUAUUAUAAAUAAUUUCAUUUUAUUAAAAAAUUUAAAUUUUUAUUUAAUUUUUUAUAUAAAAUUUAUUUUUAAUUACUAAAAAUUAAUUAUAAUGAUAAAAUUAGUAUAUUAUAUUUAAAAAAUUAUUUUUAAUUUGAAUUUUAUUAUUUAAUUUAAUUAAUUAAAAGGAAUUCGGCAAAUAUUUAUUUUCACUUGUUUAUCAAAAACAUGUCUUUUUGUUGAUUUAUUUAAAGUCUAAUCUGCCCACUGAUUUUAAUUGAAGGGCUGCAGUAUUUUGACUGUACAAAGGUAGCAUAAUCAUUAGUCUCUUAAUUGGUGACUUGUAUGAAAGAUUGGAUGAGAAAUAUACUGUCUCUUAAUUAAUGUGUAGAAUUUAAUUUUUUAUUUAAAAAGUUAAAAUAAAUUAAAAAGACGAGAAGACCCUAUAGAGUUUAAUAAAUUUUUUUAUGAUAAUUUUAUUUGUAUUAAAUUGAAAUAAUUUUAUAAAUUUAUUUAUUUUAUUGGGGUGAUAGAAAAAUAAAUUUAACUUUUUUUAAAGAAUUUAACAAAAAUAUAUGAUUAAAUGAUCCAGUUUAUUAUUGAUUAAAAGAUUAAAUUACCUUAGGGAUAACAGCGUAAUUUUUUUUUUUAGUUCGAAUAAUAAAAAAAGUUUGCGACCUCGAUGUUGGAUUAAGAUAAAAUUUAAAUGUAAAAGUUUAAAAUUUUGAUCUG